CAGCCGCCGCGGGAAUACGAAGGGUGCAAGCGUUAAUCGGAACUACUGGGCGUAAAGCGUGCGUAGGCGGUGAGUUAAGUCUGCUGUGAAAUCCCCGGGCUCAACCUGGGAAUGGCAGUGGAUACUGGCUCGCUAGAGUGUGUCAGAGGAUGGUGGAAUUCCCGGUGUAGCGGUGAAAUGCGUAGAGAUCGGGAGGAACAUCAGUGGCGAAGGCGGCCAUCUGGGACAACACUGACGCUGAGGCACGAAAGCGUGGGGAGCAAACAGGAUUAGAUACCCCGGUAGUCCCUGUCUCUUAUAC
rnacentral:rRNA from 1 species